ensembl:lncRNA
AUGCAAGGACUCAAAAUGGAUGCUAAGAAGGGGGGAGGCUUGCCUUCUCCACCCCUCCUGACUAAUGACAAUUAUUCAUCUUGGUCUGUAAAGAUGAAGGCCCUGCUGCAGAAUCAGAGACUGUUUGGGGUGAUUGAGAAUCCCAUCCCAGCAGCACCAACGCGUGCUUGGGAGUCACAGAAUGUGAAGGCUAGGACUGCCAUAAUUCUGUGUGUCUCAGAUGAGCAGCUUGUGCAUAUACAGCAUUUGGAAUUUGCGCAAGAGGUUUGGAACGCGCUGCGUACAACGCAUCAGAGAGAUGCCGGUUCUUCAGCGUUGCUGUAUUUUGAGAGGUUGACCAAUCUGAGAUUAGCGCCUGAUGGAGAUGUUCAAGCGCACCUGACAGAGAUGAAGUUUCUGCGUCAACAGAUGGUGGAACGCAAUUUCCGUCUUCAGGAGGAAGUGUUUUGCUUCAUGGUGAUAAACAGCCUUAGUCGCACCUACAAGGUUGUUGCCAGUCAGCUUGGUUCGCUACCUGCUCAGCAGCUAACCGCGGAAAGGGUGUGUGCGGUGGUCCUGAACGAACACGACAGACUUGCUGCACUGGAAGUGAAAGACAGGGGGAGGCAAGAACAGAGUUCAAAUCUUCCCACUGCAGCAAGCAUUGAUACUUUAGGGGGAGUAUGUUACCAUAAAGCACCAAUGCUGCAGCAAGCAAAGGCUUCAGCAGCUCAGUCAGCUGCUUGUGGCUGGAAAGCCAGACAGGAUGUUUGUGACUGUUGCCAUGGAAACAAAGGGGCAGUUCAUUCUGUACUGAGCACCGGAUGUUAGCUCAGUGUGUGUGUCAUAUGACCCGUACUGGAAGUACAUGGGUGGGAGUUUCUUCUUGCUGUUGUCGAGUGCAGACAUGUUUCUCUGUACUGAUAUGAGAGACAGAAAUAAAAGAUGUAAAUAGUUUUCUGUCUGCUUCUUUCCCCUCCCUGGGGGACACCAAAGGGGAGAGAGGAAGAACGGUGUGUUCCUCUCACACAUCUGAGAGGAAUCGCCGAGACCUCGCCUGCUUAUCAGCAGAGUGGAGACGCGGGGAGGUCGACAGGAAUAUCUGCCGGUGCCUACGCUGUGGCACAUUCCUCUGACCCAAGCAGAAUUCCAACACAAGGGCCAUCGAGUCCAACCCCCUGCCAAGCAGGAAACACCAUCAGAGCACUCCUGACAUAUGGUUGUCAAGCCUCUGCUUAAAGACCUCCAAAGAAGGAGACUCCACCACACUCCUUGGCAGCAAAUUCCACUGUCGAACAGCUCUUACUGUCAGGAAGUUCUUCCUAAUGUUUAGGUGGAAUCUUCUUUCUUGUAGUUUGGAUCCAUUGCUCCGUGUCCGCUUCUCUGGAGCAGCAGAAAACAACCUUUCUCCCUCCUCUAUAUGACAUCCUUUUAUAUAUUUGAACAUGGCUAUCAUAUCACCCCUUAACCUCCUCUUCUCCAGGCUAUGUCCCAGUGGCCAUGUCCGUGUGCCCUGGGCGGCCAGAGCCAAAGGCACUCCCCCAGACGGUUUUCCCUGCGGGGGUCACCCUAUUAUUUGAUGUAAGUCUUAGGUGUUAGGAUAUAGUUCCGGUCCACCUUAAAAAGGAGCAGGAAUGACUGUUGUGUGUCACAUGCCUGUUUACUUCCAGCACUUGCUGGGAACCUCCGUUUGUAUAUAGCUUUUGUGCUGUUGCUGUUUUACUGGAGACGAAGGGAAGCAGACAUGUUUUCCUCUGUUCCUGAACUAUUCUGAAUAAAUGUUGUACAUUAUGCUUACACAUUUCUCUGUCCACCUCUUCUGCUGUGAGAAGAUUUACACACUCUGCUGACAGAGCGUGCAAGGGUCUCUAAACGUAUCUGAGGCUCGUGUCGCUGUUUGAUGCUGUUCCAAGGGAGACCAGCUGCCGGGGUGGCCAGCUGGGGCCUACCUGAUGCCCCCAUCUUCCCACCAGUAUCCCAACAUUAGGAACCCCCAUCUGCAUUGACCACGCAUCACUUCC